rnacentral:snRNA from 16 species
AACCCUUCUCGGCCUUUAUGGCUUUGAUCAAGUGUAGUAUCUGUUCUAGCAAGCUUAAUAUCUUGCUCACCUCUACGGAGGUGCAAAUAUUAAACAAUUUUUGCGAUGGGGUCUAGUCGUGUUGAGGCUUGCCAAAGACACGAUUAGACAAGAAUGUGCUUGGUUACGGCCAUGUCGCAUUUACCCUCU